rnacentral:rRNA from 1 species
CCUACGGGUGGCAGCAGUGAGGAAUAUUGGUCAAUGGCCGCGAGGCUGAACCAGCCAAGUAGCGUGAGGGAGGAAUGCCCUGAGGGUUGUAGACUUCUUUUAUAAGGGAAUAAAAGGAGGCACGUGUGCCGUUUUGUGUGUACUUGGUGAAUAAGCAUCGGCUAACUCCGUGCCAGCAGCCGCGGUAAUACGGAGGAUCCGAGCGUUAUCCGGAUUUAUUGGGUUUAAAGGGAGCGUAGAUGGGUUGUUAAGGCAGUGGUGAAAGUUUGCGGCUCAACCGUAAAAUUGCAGUUGAUACUGGCAGUCUUGAGUACAGUUGAGGCAGGCGGAAUGCGUGGUGUAGCGGUGAAAUGCUUAGAUAUCACGAAGAACCCCGAUUGCGAAGGCAGCUUACUAAACCGCCACUGACAUUGAUGCUCGAAAGUGUGGGUAUCAAACAGGAUUAGAUACCCGAGUAGUC